GACGGAGGGUGCUAGCGUUGUUCGGAAUUACUGGGCGUAAAGGGCGCGUAGGCGGCUCUGUAAGUCGGGUGUGAAAGCCAGGUGCUCAACCCCGGAACGGCACCCGAGACUGCGGAGCUCGAGACCUGAAGAGGUGAGUGGAAUACCCAGUGUAGAGGUGAAAUUCGUAGAUAUUGGGUGGAACACCGGUGGCGAAAGCGGCUCACUGGUCCGGUUCUGACGCUGAGGCGCGAAAGCGUGAGGAGCAAUCAGG
rnacentral:rRNA from 1 species